rnacentral:rRNA from 1 species
UGGGGAAUAUUGGGCAAUGGGCGCAAGCCUGACCCAGCAACGCCGCGUGAAGGAAGAAGGCUUUCGGGUUGUAAACUUCUUUUGUCGGGGACGAAACAAAUGACGGUACCUGACGAAUAAGCCACGGCUAACUACGUGCCAGCAACCGCGGUAAUACGUAGGUGGCAAGCGUUAUCCGGAUUUACUGGGUGUAAAGGGCGUGUAGGCGGGAUUGCAAGUCAGAUGUGAAAACUGGGGGCUCAACCUCCAGCCUGCAUUUGAAACUGUAGUUCUUGAGUGCUGGAGAGGCAAUCGGAAUUCCGUGUGUAGCGGUGAAAUGCGUAGAUAUACGGAGGAACACCAGUGGCGAAGGCGGAUUGCUGGACAGUAACUGACGCUGAGGCGCGAAAGCGUGGGGAGCAAACAGGAUUAGAUACCC